rnacentral:lncRNA from 1 species
AAUGAAACAGAUUAUAUAUAUGAUUUAAGUGAUAUAAUCAUAAACCUAAGCUCUUGUUUAUACAUAAUUAUAUAUGUAUGCAGGCCUAACGGGCCAGGUUUUUGUGGGCGGGCCUGGCCAGGCUUUCUUGGGCUUAAUCGGGCAGGGCCUAUGGGUCGGGCCGGGCUUCAAACUCCCAAGCCCAAGCCUAGCCCGGCUUAAGGUGGGCCGGGCCAUCUCAAAACCCAUAACGGGCCGAGUCGGAAUUUUUUUCAAUGGGCCAGGCGGGCCCCCAUCAGCCCAUGAACCCGCAGGCCAAAUGAUGAGGCCUACUAGCCUAGGCCAAUCUUUUUAACCAAUCCCCACUAGGAUGGCUGACCAACAAAAAAAAACCUCCACUUGAAAUAUUAGAAUUUGACUCCCACUAGGCCACAGACAUUCCCUCUUUCCUUCUUUAAUAAAAAACAAAAAACAGAAUUCUCUCUCUCUCUCUCUCUCUCUCUCUCUCUCUCUCUCUCUCUCUCUCUCUCUCUCUCUCUCUCUCUCUCUCUCUCACACACACACACACACACACA